rnacentral:rRNA from 1 species
CAGUCGCCACGGGAAUACGUAGGGUGCAAGCGUUAAUCGGAAUUACUGGGCGUAAAGCGUGCGCAGGCGGUUAUAUAAGACAGAUGUGAAAUCCCCGGGCUCAACCUGGGAACUGCAUUUGUGACUGUAUAGCUAGAGUACGGCAGAGGGGGAUGGAAUUCCGCGUGUAGCAGUGAAAUGCGUAGAUAUGCGGAGGAACACCGAUGGCGAAGGCAAUCCCCUGGGCCUGUACUGACGCUCAUGCACGAAAGCGUGGGGAGCAAACAGGAUUAGAUGCCCCGUAGUCCCUGUCUCUUAUACA